AUGGUCUUAGCUUGCUAAGGCCGAUGGCGACCGGCGCACGGGUGAGUAACACGUAUCCAACCUGCCGUCUACUCUUGGACAGCCUUCUGAAAGGAAGAUUAAUACAAGAUGGCAUCAUGAGUCCGCAUGUUCACAUGAUUAAAGGUAUUCCGGUAGACGAUGGGGAUGCGUUCCAUUAGAUAGUAGGCGGGGUAACGGCCCACCUAGUCUUCGAUGGAUAGGGGUUCUGAGAGGAAGGUCCCCCACAUUGGAACUGAGACACGGUCCAAACUCCUACGGGAGGCAGCAGUGGGGAAUAUUGGUCAAUGGGCGAGAGCCUGAACCAGCCAAGUAGCGUGAAGGAUGACUGCCCUAUGGGUUGUAAACUUCUUUUAUAAAGGAAUAAAGUCGGGUAUGGAUACCCGUUUGCAUGUACUUUAUGAAUAAGGAUCGGCUAACUCCGUG
rnacentral:rRNA from 1 species